rnacentral:misc_RNA from 1 species
UCACCAUGGCCUAUAUCCUCGCCGUCAACGCCUCCAUCCUCUCCGACUCCGGCGGCACCUGCUCCGUCUCCGACUGCAUCCCCCUUUGCUCCGAUCCCACCAUCUCGGCCGCCAACUGCUCCGCCGCCAACCACCGCCUCAUCAUCCCCGACAAGUCCUGCAAGUUCCCUCCGGUCAAUCCCGGCUACUCCGCCUGCGUAGGCCGAAUCCGCAAAGACCUCAUCGUGCCAUCGUUGCUUCCUCCCU